rnacentral:rRNA from 1 species
AUUGAACGCUGGCGGAAUGCUUUACUCAUGCAAGUCGAACGGCAGCACGGGGGCAGCCCUGGUGGCGAGUGGCGAACGGGUGAGUAAUACAUCGGAACGUGCCCGGUCGUGGGGGAUAACGUAGCGAAAGUUACGCUAAUACCGCAUACGAUCUGAGGAUGAAAGCGGGGGACCUUCGGGCCUCGCGCGAUCGGAGCGGCCGAUGUCAGAUUAGGUAGUUGGUGGGGUAAAGGCCUACCAAGCCGACGAUCUGUAGCUGGUCUGAGAGGACGACCAGCCACACUGGGACUGAGACACGGCCCAGACUCCUGCGGGAGGCAGCAGUGGGGAAUUUUGGACAAUGGGCGCAAGCCUGAUCCAGCCAUUCCGCGUGCAGGACGAAGGCCUUCGGGUUGUAAACUGCUUUUGUACGGAACGAAAAGGCUCUGGCUAAUACCUGGGGCUCAUGACGGUACCGUAAGAAUAAGCACCGGCUAACUACGUG